AGCCCUCAUCCUUGGUCCUUUAGCCCGUUCCUUCUCAGGAGCGCCAAGGAGAGCUGGUUGAAGACGCUUGUUCGUCUCGGGGUGGGAGACUACAUUUCCCAGGAGACACACGAACAAACGCCCAAACUAUUUCCCAGACUCCCCCACGUCUCGGACCUCUACGAAGCCGUCUUCCCUCGGGGGCCGAAGACUUCGGGCCAAGAUGGCGACCGGAACGGGCAAACACAAGCUGUUGAGUAGUGGCCCCACAGAACCAUGGUCCAUCCGAGAGAAGCUGUGUUUAGCAUCUUCUGUCAUGCGGAGUGGGGAUCAAAAUUGGGUAUCGGUUAGCAGAGCAAUCAAGCCCUUUGCAGAACCUGGCCGCCCUCCAGACUGGUUCUCGCAAAAACAUUGUGCUUCUCAGUACUCUGAACUUCUAGAAACUACCGAGACCCCAAAACGGAAACGGGGUGAAAAGGGAGAAGUGGUGGAAACUGUUGAAGAUGUCAUUGUUCGGAAACUGACUGCUGAACGAGUUGAGGAAUUAAAGAAAAUGAUAAAGGAAACCCAGGAAAAAUAUAGACGACUGAAAAGAGAUGCAGAACUAAUUCAGGCCGGGCACAUGGACAGCAGACUGGAGGAGCUUUGCAAUGACAUUGCAACGAAAAAGAAAUUGGAGGAAGAGGAGGCUGAAGUAAAGAGGAAGGCUACGGAUGCUGCAUAUCAAGCUCGUCAAGCAGUAAAAACACCCCCUCGGAGGUUACCCACUGUGAUGGUUCGAUCUCCUAUAGAUUCUGCUUCCCCAGGAAGUGAUUAUCCACUUGGGGACUUGACUGCAACCACUAUGGAAGAGGCCACCUCUGGGGUAACCCCUGGGACUUUGCCGAGUACCCCAGUCACCUCGUUUCCUGGGAUUCCUGACACCCUUCCUCCAGGCUCUGCACCCUUAGAAGCCCCCAUGACCCCAGUAACAGAUGAUUCACCCCAGAAAAAGAUGCUUGGACAGAAAGCAACUCCACCCCCCUCCCCUCUGCUGUCAGAGCUCUUGAAGAAGGGCAGCCUCCUGCCUACUAGCCCCAGACUGGUCAAUGAGAGUGAAAUGGCUGUGGCUUCUGGCCACCUGAACAGUACAGGUGUCCUCCUGGAGGUAGGCGGGGUCCUUCCCAUGAUACAUGGUGGGGAUUUGCAGCAAACAUCUAACACUGUUGCAGCUUCCCCUGCUGCCUCAGGUGCUCCCACUCUUUCCCGGCUUUUAGAAGCUGGUCCUACACAGUUCACCACACCUCUUGCUUCCUUCACUACUGUUGCCAGUGAGCCUCCAGUUAAACUUGUGCCACCCCCUGUAGAGUCUGUGUCCCAGGCUACCAUUGUCAUGAUGCCUGCGCUACCAGCACCAUCCUCUGCUCCGGCUGUCUCCACUCCUGAGAGUGUAGCUCCAGUGAGUCAGCCUGAUACUUGUGUUCCCAUGGAGGCUGUGGGGGAUCCACAUACUGUGACUGUUUCCAUGGAUAGCAGUGAAAUCUCCAUGAUUAUCAAUUCUAUCAAAGAGGAGUGUUUCCGAUCAGGGGUAGCAGAGGCUUCUGGAGGAUCAAAGGCUCCCAGCAUAGAUGGGAAGGAAGAUUUAGAUCUGGCUGAGAAGAUGGAUAUAGCUGUGUCUUACACAGGUGAAGAGCUUGAUUUUGAGACUGUUGGAGACAUCAUUGCUAUCAUUGAGGACAAGGUAGAUGAUCAUCCUGAAGUGCUGGAUGUGGCAGCAGUGGAAGCAGCAUUGUCGUUCUGUGAAGACAAUGAUGAUCCUCGGUCUCUGCCUGGCCCCUGGGAGCACCCUGUGCAGCAGGAACGGGACAAGCCAGUACCUCUUUCUGCACCAGAAUUGACAGUCAAGCAAGAGAGGCUGGACUUUGAGGAAUCAGAAAACAAAGGAAUCCAUGAACUGGUAGACAUCAGAGAACCUGGUGUUGAGAUCAAAAUGGAACCUACAGAACCAGAGCAAGGCAUUUCAGGAGCUGAAAUAGUCACUGGGGUUGCUCCAGCCACAUGUAUGGAGCCACCAGAACUCAGGAAUCAGGACUUAGAUGAGGAACCCAGAAGUACUGCAGCUGGAGAGAUUGCUGAAGUAGAUGUUGCCAGUGGGAAAAGCGAUGAGACUGCACUUACAACUGUAAAGACAGAGGCAUCCCCAGGGAGCAUGCUAUCUCCAUCACAUGGCUCAAAUCCCAUGGAAGAUCCUUUAGAGGCAGAAACUCAGCACAAAUUUGAAAUGUCAGACUCAUUGAAAGAAGAAUCAGGGACUAUUUUUGGAAGCCAGAUAAAGCACACUGUGUCUAAGGAUGCCCCAGGUGAGGAUGAGGAGGAAGAUGGAGUCAGUGAAGCAGCGAGUCUAGAGGAGCCUAAGGAAGAAGAUCAAGGAGAAGGCUACUUGUCAGAAAUGGAUAACGAACCCCCUGUGAGCGAGAGUGAUGAUGGCUUUAGUAUACACAAUGCUACUCUGCAGUCCCACACACUGGCGGACUCCAUCCCCAGCAGUCCUGCUUCUUCACAGUUCUCUGUCUGUAGUGAGGAUCAGGAAGCUAUUCAAGCACAGAAAAUCUGGAAGAAAGCCAUCAUGCUUGUAUGGAGAGCUGCAGCUAAUCAUAGAUAUGCCAAUGUGUUUCUGCAGCCUGUUACAGAUGACAUAGCACCUGGCUACCACAGCAUCGUGCAGAGGCCAAUGGAUUUGUCAACAAUUAAGAAAAACAUUGAAAAUGGACUGAUCCGCAGCACAGCUGAAUUCCAGCGUGACAUUAUGUUGAUGUUCCAGAAUGCUGUAAUGUAUAAUAGCUCGGAUCACGAUGUCUAUCACAUGGCAGUAGAGAUGCAGCGAGAUGUUUUGGAGCAGAUCCAGGGCCAACUGUGUUUCUUCUCCCUACAGCAAUUCCUGGCCACACAGUUGAUUAUGCAAACAUCUGAGUCUGGGAUCAGUGCUAAAAGUCUUCGAGGAAGAGAUUCUACCCGCAAACAGGAUGCUUCAGAGAAGUGACUCUGGAUCCCAAGCAAUUGGCUGGCUGUUACAAGGCUGGUUAAUAGGAUCUUUUAUCUAUUGAAGACAGCAAUGUAUUGCACAAGAGGAAGGAUCUGGGCUGCAGGGAGAGAGCAGCAGAUGGAAAGAAGCCUUCUGAUUGUCCUGAUCUCAUGGAAAACAACUGUCAGGUGGUGCUAGGGAACUAGUGCCAGGGUCAGUCUGCAGGAAAGGCCUUUCUUUAGGGACCAACAAACAGCUGGACAGGAUGGUGGCACCAGGGGGCGCCGCUGUGCCAUUGAAGCAGAUAUGAAGAUGAAAAAGUGAAGUCUCAGAGUACCCUCAUUGUGCUGAACCUGAAAAGAAAUAAACAAGUUAAAGUUUGGGCUUGUGGGCCCAGUUCCAGAAGUGGGAGAUACAGAAGAGGAGGCUCCUGGGCCGUGUGACAUGAUCUGGGAAAAUCUCAGAGAGUUGGAGUAGCAUAAUUGCCUGUUUUAGGGCAAAAAUCAUGGGCUGUGUUAAUGUCCUAAUGUGUAACUAACAGAUAGUAGCUAAUUUGUACUGUCUUGUGAAGUGUACAGACUUUUAAAAAAAUCUGUGAAGUGUUUGUGUUCAAAAUAAACUCUGAAAGAAAACUC